rnacentral:rRNA from 1 species
GACGAACGCUGGCGGCGUGCCUAAUACAUGCAAGUCGAACGAACUCUGGUAUUGAUUGGUGCUUGCAUCAUGAUUUACAUUUGAGUGAGUGGCGAACUGGUGAGUAACACGUGGGAAACCUGCCCAGAAGCGGGGGAUAACACCUGGAAACAGAUGCUAAUACCGCAUAACAACUUGGACCGCAUGGUCCGAGCUUGAAAGAUGGCUUCGGCUAUCACUUUUGGAUGGUCCCGCGGCGUAUUAGCUAGAUGGUGGGGUAACGGCUCACCAUGGCAAUGAUACGUAGCCGACCUGAGAGGGUAAUCGGCCACAUUGGGACUGAGACACGGCCCAAACUCCUACGGGAGGCAGCAGUAGGGAAUCUUCCACAAUGGACGAAAGUCUGAUGGAGCAACGCCGCGUGAGUGAAGAAGGGUUUCGGCUCGUAAAACUCUGUUGUUAAAGAAGAACAUAUCUGAGAGUAACUGUUCAGGUAUUGACGGUAUUUAACCAGAAAGCCACGGCUAACUACGUGCCAGCAGCCGCGGUAAUACGUAGGUGGCAAGCGUUGUCCGGAUUUAUUGGGCGUAAAGCGAGCGCAGGCGGUUUUUUAAGUCUGAUGUGAAAGCCUUCGGCCCAACCGAAGAAGUGCAUCGGAAACUGGGAAACUUGAGUGCAGAAGAGGACAGUGGAACUCCAUGUGUAGCGGUGAAAUGCGUAGAUAUAUGGAAGAACACCAGUGGCGAAGGCGGCUGUCUGGUCUGUAACUGACGCUGAGGCUCGAAAGUAUGGGUAGCAAACAGGAUUAGAUACCCUGGUAGUCCAUACCGUAAACGAUGAAUGCUAAGUGUUGGAGGGUUUCCGCCCUUCAGUGCUGCAGCUAACGCAUUAAGCAUUCCGCCUGGGGAGUACGGCCGCAAGGCUGAAACUCAAAGGAAUUGACGGGGGCCCGCACAAGCGGUGGAGCAUGUGGUUUAAUUCGAAGCUACGCGAAGAACCUUACCAGGUCUUGACAUACUAUGCAAAUCUAAGAGAUUAGACGUUCCCUUCGGGGACAUGGAUACAGGUGGUGCAUGGUUGUCGUCAGCUCGUGUCGUGAGAUGUUGGGUUAAGUCCCGCAACGAGCGCAACCCUUAUUAUCAGUUGCCAGCAUUAAGUUGGGCACUCUGGUGAGACUGCCGGUGACAAACCGGAGGAAGGUGGGGAUGACGUCAAAUCAUCAUGCCCCUUAUGACCUGGGCUACACACGUGCUACAAUGGAUGGUACAACGAGUUGCGAACUCGCGAGAGUAAGCUAAUCUCUUAAAGCCAUUCUCAGUUCGGAUUGUAGGCUGCAACUCGCCUACAUGAAGUCGGAAUCGCUAGUAAUCGCGGAUCAGCAUGCCGCGGUGAAUACGUUCCCGGGCCUUGUACACACCGCCCGUCACACCAUGAGAGUUUGUAACACCCAAAGUCGGUGGGGUAACCUUUUAGGAACCAGCCGCCUAAGGUGGGACAGAUGAUUAGGGUG